GAGAUAGCAUGCGAGUCACGUAGCAAUACGUGGCACACGGCUCAGUAACACGUAGUCAACAUAACCAAAGGACGUGAAUAAACUCGGGAAACUGAGGCUAAACCGCGAUAGAUCAAGAUAUCUGGAAUGGUUUUUGAUCAAAAUCUAUAUGGCCUUUGGAUUGGACUGCGUCCGAUCAGGCUGUUGGUGAGGUAAUGGCCCACCAAACCUGUAACCGGUACGGGCUCUGAGAGGAGGAGCCCGGAGAUGGGUACUGAGAAAAGGACCCAGGCCCUAUGGGGCGCAGCAGGCGCGAAACCUCUGCAAUAGGCGAAAGCCUGACAGGGUUACUCUGAGUGACUUUCGCUAAGAAAGUCUUUUGACACCUCUAAAAAUGGUGUAGAAUAAGGGGUGGGCAAGUCUGGUGUCAGCCGCCGCGGUAAUACCAGCACCCCGAGUGGUCGGGACGAUUAUUGGGCCUAAAGCAUCCGUAGCCGGUUUUACAAGUCCUCCGUUAAAUCCAGCUGCUUAACAGAUGGGCUGCGGAGGAUACUAUAAGACUAGGAGGCAGGAGAGGCAAGCGGUACUCAGUGGGUAGGGGUAAAAUCCGUUGAUCCAUUGAAGACCACCAGUGGCGAAGGCGGCUUGCCAGAAUGCGCUCGACGGUGAGGGAUGAAAGCUGGGGGAGCAAACCGGAUUAGAUACCCGGGUAGUCCCAGCUGUAAACGAUGCAGACUCGGUGAUGGACUAGCUUUAUGCUAGUCCAGUGCCGCAGGAAAGCCGUUAAGUCUGCCGCCUGGGUAGUACGGUCGCAAGACUGAAACUUAAAGGAAUUGGCGGGGGAGCACCACAAGGGUGAAGCCUGCGGUUC
rnacentral:rRNA from 1 species